CCUACGGGGGGCAGCAGUGGGGGAUAUUGCACAAUGGGGGGAACCCUGAUGCAGCGACGCCGCGUGGGUGAAGGAGUGCUUCGGCAUGUAAAGCCCUAUCGGCAGGGAAGAAGCAGGACGGUACCUGACUAAGAAGCCCCGGCUAACUACGUGCCAGCACCCGCGGUAAUACGGAGGGGGCGAGCGUUACCCGGAUUCACUGGGUGUAAAGGGAGCGCAGAAGGCCGUGCAAGCUAGGGGUGAAAGCCCGGGGCCCAACCCCGGGCCUGCCCUGGAAAAUGUCCGGCUAGAGUGCGGGAGGGGCAGGCGGAAUUCGUGGUGUAGCGGUGAAAGGCGUAGAUAUCAGGAGGAACACCGGCGGCGAAGGCGGCCUGCUGGACCGCGACUGACGUUGAGGCUCGAAAGCGUGGGGAGCGAACAGGAUUAGAUACCCGGGUAGUC
rnacentral:rRNA from 1 species